UCCCGUCGAGCCAUCUCGGCGAGGGCGCCCGGCUGUUAACCGGGAUAGCGCGGUUCGAAACCGUGGACGGGAGCCA
rnacentral:tRNA from 1 species